GUUCUUAUUUAAAAAAAAAAAAAAAAAAAGAGUACCAUGUAUUCUCCGUGACAAUGCAUGUAUCGGACCGUGACCCCCGUACCGUGACGGUCCAAUAAGAGUACAAAUACCGUGCCACCCCUAGUGGGGAGGUCACUGCCCGAGCGAUGUGUCCCGUCUCAUUCCAUCCUGGGUUUUACCAACAACCCUUGGCUCAUACUCUGGGAGAACUGGUGCAACUGAACUUACUUUCCUUUUCAAAAAGAAAAAUAAAAGCUUUCCUUUUCUUGUAGUUUUAUUUAAUUGUUGGUACUGCACCCUCUUUCAAUACGGGCCAACGCUCCUCAACAGAUCAGAGGUCUCAUAUGAGUCUUCAGUAAAAUGUGCAGAGCAGAAGAGAGACCACUUCGUAGGCACCCAAUGUGCCCGUGAACAACUUGCAAAACGCGUCCAAAUCUUUGCAGUUUGAACAUUCUUGGGCCAUGAAUGCAAUGUAAAUCCACCUUCUGUCGUGCUGCUGGCACAUCUACGUGGCAUGGCAAUAAAUUGGCUCAAAAUGGAGCAUCGCAGUUUGCAGUAUAGCAGAAAUGGCGACGAGACCGAUAGCCUUCCUGCUGUGACGUCAAGGUCAUUCACUCAGACCGCUACCUAUAUGAAUCACUUUAACUGUAAAAGUUACUUAGAUUUAUUGUUAACGCUUAAAACUAUUUCUGUGCCAUUCUUGAGGUCUCAAAGCACUUAUAAAUGAAAGUGAGGCCAUGGUUCUGCGUAUCUCCUUUAAACCCAAGUCAAUUCCCACAUUAAGUUCUGAAACGCGCAGUUUGAUUGGUUAACCCAUGCACUAUAAGCCAAUCAAUUUCCGGGUUAUGUUCCAUUUUAUCUGGAGGCGCAAUAUGGAUGAAGUACAUUUACAUGCUCCACCGCGGCAUUUAAAAUUGAAGGUGUGGGCUCAUUUUGGUUUUAAAAACAUAAAUGAGAAAGAAAAAGCGACAUGCAAGAUAUGCUUUACAGAUGUCAUGUGUAAAACUGGUAAUACAAGCAACUUGAACACACAUUUAAAGAGGAAACAUGGAAUCAAUCUGACCGGCAAAUCGGAGCGCGAUUCGGCAUCUGGAAGUGGUGGUAUCACCAAGAAGAAAUCUACAGGUCAAUUUCGCCUCGCUGAUGUGAUGAAUGCUAGAUAUUCUCAUAACAGCACUCGCUCAACAACAAUAUCAAGUCAAGUUUAUUUGUAUAGCACUUUUAAUAAUAAACAUUGUCGCAAAGCAGCUUUACAGAAUUUGAACGACUUAAAAUAUGAGCUAAUUUUAUCCCUAAUCUAUCCCCAAUGAGCACGCCUGUGGCGAUGGUGGCAAGGAAAAACUCCUUCAGACAACAUGAGGAAGAAACCUCGAGAGGUUGAAAAGGCUGACAGCAUUACUAUCACAACUGAUUCUUGGACUUCACGUGCAACAGAAAAUUAUGUAGCCGUCACUGCUCACUUCAUUAAUACUAAAUGGGAAGUUGAAAAUUACACCCUUGAAACAAAGAAGUUCGGUGAAUCCCACACAGCUGAAAACUUGUCACAUGGUCUGAAAGAAACCAUUGACAAAUGGAAACUUGGGGGUAAUGGAAUAGGUUCUGUCCAACAGACAAUGCAAGUAACAUUGUUCGUGCUGUUAAGGAUGCAGAACUGAGCCCACACAUUCCAUGCUUUGCACAUAUGAUAAAUCUUGCAACACAACAUGGACUAAAAGUGCCACAAAUGGACAGACUUUUGGGCAGGGUCAGACACAUGAUUAAUUUUUUUCAUAAGAGUACAUCAGCCACCAGCAGUCUUUUACUGAUGCAAAAGAAGCUUGACCUCCCUCAGCACAAGUUACUUAUUAAUGUCUCUACUAGAUGGAACUCUACUUUUGACAUGCUUGAGAGAUAUUUGGAACAGCAGGCUGCUAUUUGCUGCCCUAAUUGAGGUUAAGAAGAAUGUAAAAGACUUGGUAACUUUGUCUGAUGAGCAUAUCCAAAACACUGAAGAACUUCUAAAAAUUCUCAAACCUCUCGGGACAGUUACCAACAUGAUGUGUAGUCAGAUGCAUCCAACAGUGUCUCUUAUACACCCCCUUAAGGAAAUGCUCCUGAAGCAACUUGAAACUGUACCAACUGACAACAUACUGCUUUCAGAAGUCAAAACAGCCAUUAAGUUCAGAUCUCAGACCAAGGUACACAGAGACUUCUGUAUUGAAGUUCCUUCUUAAGGCAUCUGUUCUUGACCCUCGCUUUAAAAGCCUUCCCUACCUGGAUGAUGAUGCCAGACAUUAUAUUUUCCAUGCUCUUGCAAUGGAAGCAGUGGACCAUGCAACUCGAAGAAUGUAACUGUAAAGAAAGAACCAGGAACUUCUACUGAGGAGAGCAACCAUGCUGCACUGCCUAAUCUACCUGCUACCCCAGCCCUUGAAGGCUGGCGAGAGCCUUUCUGUGCAGAGUUUGCAUGUUCUCCCCGUGUCCGCGUGGGUUUCCUCCGGGUGCUCCGGUUUCCCCCACAGUCCAAAGACAUGCAGGUUAGGUAAACUGGCGACUCUAAAUUGACCGUAGGUGUGAAUGUGAAUGGUUGUCUGUGUCUAUGUGUCAGCCCUGUGAUAACCUGGCGACUUGUCCAGGGUGUACCCUGCCUUUCACCCGUAGUCAGCUGGGAUAGGCUCCAGCUUGCCUGCGACCCUGUAGAACAGGAUAAAGUGGCCAGAGAUAAAUGAGAUGAGAUAUUUAUGUUUGUAAUGAAUUUAAUUAAUUGUUAUGUUUUAAGUUUGUUAUGAAUUAAAAAAAACGCAAAAACAAUG